rnacentral:rRNA from 1 species
AGGACGAACGCUGGCGGCGUGCUUAACACAUGCAAGUCGAACGGAAAGGCCCGCUUGCGGGUACUCGAGUGGCGAACGGGUGAGUAACACGUGGGCAACCUGCCCUCAGCUCUGGGAUAGCUCCGGGAAACCGGAAUUAAUACCGGAUAUGACCUAGGCCGACAUCGGCCGUGGUGGAAAGUUUUUCGGCUAGGGAUGGACUCGCGGCCUAUCAGCUAGUUGGUGGGGUAAUGGCCUACCAAGGCGACGACGGGUAGCCGGCCUGAGAGGGCGACCGGCCACACUGGGACUGAGACACGGCCCAGACUCCUACGGGAGGCAGCAGUGGGGAAUCUUGCGCAAUGGGCGAAAGCCUGACGCAGCGACGCCGCGUGGGGGAUGAAGGCCUUCGGGUUGUAAACCCCUUUCAGCAGGGACGAAGCGAAAGUGACGGUACCUGCAGAAGAAGCGCCGGCUAACUACGUGCCAGCAGCCGC